rnacentral:rRNA from 1 species
CCUACGGGGGGCAGCAGUGAGGAAUAUUGGUCAAUGGACGAGAGUCUGAACCAGCCAAGUAGCGUGAAGGAUGACUGCCCUAUGGGUUGUAAACUUCUUUUAUAUGUGAAUAAAACAGGGUAUGCAUACCCUCUUGUAUGUACCAUAUGAAUAAGGAUCGGCUAACUCCGUGCCAGCAGCCGCGGUAAUACGGAGGAUCCGAGCGUUAUCCGGAUUUAUUGGGUUUAAGGGGAGCGUAGGUGGAUUGUUAAGUCAGUUGUGAAAGUUUGCGGCUCAACCGUAAAAUUGCAGUUGAAACUGGCAGUCUUGAGUACAGUAGAGGUGGGCGGAAUUCGUGGUGUAGCGGUGAAAUGCUUAGAUAUCACGAAGAACUCCGAUUGCGAAGGCAGCUUACUGGACUGCAACUGACACUGAUGCUCGAAAGUGUGGGUAUCAAACAGGAUUAGAUACCCGGGUAGUC